UACGAAGGGGGCUAGCGUUGUUCGGAAUCACUGGGCGUAAAGCGCACGUAGGCGGAUUCUUAAGUCAGGGGUGAAAUCCCGAGGCUCAACCUCGGAACCGCCUUUGAUACUGGGGAUCUCGAGUCCGGGAGAGGUGAGUGGAAUUGCGAGUGUAGAGGUGAAAUUCGUAGAUAUUCGCAAGAACACCAGUGGCGAAAGGCGGCUCACUGGCCCGGAACUGACGCUGAGGUGCGAAAGCGUGGGGAGCAAACAGGG
rnacentral:rRNA from 1 species